GAUGAACGCUGGCGGCGUGCCUAAUACAUGCAAGUCGAGCGAACAGACGAGGAGCUUGCUCCUCUGACGUUAGCGGCGGACGGGUGAGUAACACGUGGAUAACCUACCUAUAAGACUGGGAUAACUUCGGGAAACCGGAGCUAAUACCGGAUAAUAUAUUGAACCGCAUGGUUCAAUAGUGAAAGACGGUUUUGCUGUCACUUAUAGAUGGAUCCGCGCCGCAUUAGCUAGUUGGUAAGGUAACGGCUUACCAAGGCAACGAUGCGUAGCCGACCUGAGAGGGGGGUCGGCCACCCUGGAACUGAGACACGGUCCAGACCCCUACGGGAGGCAGCAGUAGGGAAUCUUCCGCAAUUGGCGAAAGCCUGACGGAGCCACGCCGGGUGAGUGAAUAAGGUUCUCGGAUCGGAAAACUCUGUUAAUAGGGAAGAAAAAAUGGGGAAGUAACCAUUCACGGUUUGACGGUAACUAAUCAGAAAGCCACGGCUAACUACGUG
rnacentral:rRNA from 1 species